rnacentral:rRNA from 1 species
GACGUACGCUGGCGGCGUGCCUAAUACAUGCAAGUCGAGCGAGACUCUUCGGAGUCUAGCGGCGGACGGGUGAGUAACACGUGGGCAACCUGCCUGUAAGACUGGGAUAACACCGGGAAACCGGUGCUAAUACCGGAUAAUCCUUUUCCUCUCAUGAGGAAAAGCUGAAAGUCGGUUUCGGCUGACACUUACAGAUGGGCCCGCGGCGCAUUAGCUAGUUGGUGAGGUAAUGGCUCACCAAGGCGACGAUGCGUAGCCGACCUGAGAGGGUGAUCGGCCACACUGGGACUGAGACACGGCACAGACUCCUACGGGAGGCAGCAGUAGGGAAUCUUCCACAAUGGACGAAAGUCUGAUGGAGCAACGCCGCGUGAGCGAUGAAGGCCUUCGGGUCGUAAAGCUCUGUUGUUAGGGAAGAACAAGUACCGGAGUAACUGCCGGUACCUUGACGGUACCUAACCAGAAAGCCACGGCUAACUACGUGCCAGCAGCCGCCGUAAGAC